rnacentral:rRNA from 1 species
AGUGAACGCUGGCGGUAGGCCUAACACAUGCAAGUCGAACGGCAGCACAGUAAGAGCUUGCUCCUACGGGUGGCGAGUGGCGGACGGGUGAGGAAUACAUCGGAAUCUACUUUUUCGUGGGGGAUAACGUAGGGAAACUGACGCUAAUACCGCAUACGACCUACGGGUGAAAGCAGUGGAUCUUCGGACCUUGCGCGAUUGAAUGAGCCGAUGUCGGAUUAGCUAGUUGGCGGGGUAAAGGCCCACCAAGGCGACGAUCCGUAGCUGGUCUGAGAGGAUGAUCAGCCACACUGGAACUGAGACACGGUCCAGACUCCUACGGGAGGCAGCAGUGGGGAAUAUUCGACAAAGGGCGCAAGCCUGAUCCAGCCAUACCGCGUGGGUGAAGAAGGCCUUCGGGUUGUAAAGCCCUUUUGUUGGGAAAGAAAAGCAGCAGGUUAAUACCCCGCUGUUCUGACGGUACCCAAAGAAUAAGCACCGGCUAACUUCGUG